GUUUGAUCAUGGCUCAGAACGUACGCUGGCGGCACGCCUAACACAUGCAAGUCGAGCGGGGUAGCAAUACCUAGCGGCAGACGGGUGCGUAACAUGUGGGAAUCUGCCUUUUGGUUCGGAACAACAUGGGGAAACCUGUGCUAAUACCGGAUAAGUCCUAACGGAGAAAGUUUUAAUGCCAAAAGAUGAGCCCGCAUUUGAUUAGCUUGUUGGUGAGGUAAAAGCUCACCAAGGCUAUAAUCAAUAGCUGAUUUGAGAGGAUGAUCAGCCACACUGGGACUGAGAUACGGCCCAGACUCCUACGGGAGGCAGCAGUGGGGAAUCUUGCACAAUGGGCGAAAGCCUGAUGCAGCGAUGCCGCGUGAGUGAAGAAGGCCUUUGGGUUGUAAAGCUCUUUUGUCGGGAAAGAUAAUGACUGUACCCGAAGAAUAAGGUCCGGCUAACUUCGUGCCAGCAGCCGCGGUAAUACGAAGGGACCUAGCGUAGUUCGGAAUUACUGGGCUUAAAGAGUUCGUAGGUGGUUGAAAAAGUUGGUGGUGAAAUCCCAGAGCUUAACUCUGGAACUGCCAUCAAAACUUUUCAGCUAGAGUAUGAUAGAGGAAAGCAGAAUUUCUAGUGUAGAGGUGAAAUUCGUAGAUAUUAGAAAGAAUACCAAUUGCGAAGGCAGCUUUCUGGAUCAUUACUGACACUGAGGAACGAAAGCAUGGGUAGCGAAGAGGAUUAGAUACCCUCGUAGUCCAUGCCGUAAACGAUGUGUGUUAGACGUUGGAAAUUUAUUUUCAGUGUCGCAGGGAAACCGAUAAACACACCGCCUGGGGAGUACGACCGCAAGGUUAAAACUCAAAUGAAUUGACGGGGACCCGCACAAGUAGUGGAGCAUGUGGUUUAAUUCGAAGAUACGCGCAGAACCUUACCAACACUUGACAUGUUCGUCGCGACUCUAAGAGAUUAGAGUUUUCGGUUCGGCCGGACGAAACACAGGUGCUGCAUGGCUGUCGUCAGCUCGUGUCGUGAGAUGUUGGGUUAAGUCCC
rnacentral:rRNA from 1 species